AUACUUACCUGGCAAGAGACACCAAGAUCAAGAAGGUGGUUCACCCAUAGCGAGGCUCAGCCAUUGCACUGAGGCUGUUGUGACCCUGCAGAUUUCCCCAAAUGUGGGAAUCUCGUUGCAUAAUUUCUGGUAGUGGGGGACUGUCACUCUCCCUGA
ensembl:snRNA U1 U1 spliceosomal RNA